AGAAAAAUUGCCCAAAAUAUGAGUGUGUAGCUGAUGCACCCUGGAGAAGCCCCCUGGAGGAGGAGGGAGGGACGGCGUGCUGGGCACCUUGCGCUCCCCGCCUGGAGAACCCUGGACCCCACCUUCCUGGUCAUUCCGUCCUCAUUUUCCUUCUCUUUGUGGUUCCUUAAUGUUGCCCAUUUAGUAACAAUUUGUUUCCAGAUCCACAGCAGGGGAACCCUAUGAUAAGCAUUUUUAAUUCUGAGGGUGGAACUGGCUUCUCUUACCCCAAUUUUCUUUUAAAGAUUCAUUCCCCUUAUGUGUCUGGGCCAUCCAUCUUCAUUGCUAUGUAUUAUUUCUUUGCAGAAAUAGACAGGUUGGGCAUCCCUAAUCUGAAAAUCUGAAACUCUGAGAGCUGAGAUGAUGCCACAGUAGAAAAUUCCUCAACACUGAACUUUGUUUUGUGUACAAAAUCAAUAGAAAUACUGUAUACAAUCGCUUUUAGACUAUGUAUAUAGGUGUGUAUAAAACAUAAAUGGAUUUUGUAAUUAGGCUUUGGUUCCUAUGCAAAUAUUCCAAAGUCCCCAAAAUACUUGUGAUCUGAAACAUUUCUGUGUCCUAAGCAUUUUGGAUAAGUGAUAUGCAAUAUGUCUCAAAUUAUUUAUCCAUUCUAAUGUUGAUGGACAUUUGCCUGUUUUUCUCUAGGCUUUAGGAAUUAUAAGCAGCUCUUCCAUAAGCGUUUUAGCUUGUGUGCUUCUGUGUUUGCAUCUCUAUCAGCAUACGGUAGAUGGGAAUUGAAGGUCAUGGGGCUAUGUACUUGACACUCAUUGAAUCUUCAAUUUGAAUUUCUCACUGAUUCCUAGAUCUUUUAUAUUUUGGGUAAGAACCAGCCAUUUGGUAUAUAUGCUAUAAAUAUCUUCUCUUGCUCUGAGGAUUACAUUUUCACUAUCAUGGCACCUUUUGAUAAGUAGAAGUUUUAAUUUUCAAAGAGUUGAGUUAUAUAUCAUUACUUUAUGGCUAAUGACUUGUUUUUGUCUUAAGGAAGUGUUCCCUACCCCAAGUCAAUGAGGAGCCAGGCCUGCUUUAACUGUGAAGACUUUAGUGUUGCCUUCACAUGAAGCUCUAUAAAUACGCAGGACUGGGUUUUUGCAUGGUGUGGCUGUUCAAUUCUGCUGCACAUUUGUUGAAACGAUGAUCAUUUCCCCCAUUCGGUGCUGUACAACCUGUGUCUUAAGUCAAGCGUCCACUCAUGCAUGGGUCUGGGAUCUCUCGUCUGUGCCCUGGGUCACUGUCCAAUCUUGACACCAAUGCCCCUCACCUUAGUUACUCUGGCUUUUAUAAUAGGUCUUGAUAGCUGGUGAUGAAAAAAUUUCUUUUCUUUGAGAGUAUCUUAGUUCUUUUAUUAAAAUGUUUUAUUAGUUGUCAAUGGACCUUUAUUUUAUUU
rnacentral:lncRNA from 1 species